rnacentral:rRNA from 1 species
GAUGAACGCUGGCGGCGUGCCUAAUACAUGCAAGUCGAGCGAACGGACGAGAAGCUUGCUUCUCUGAUGUUAGCGGCGGACGGGUGAGUAACACGUGGAUAACCUACCUAUAAGACUGGGAUAACUUCGGGAAACCGGAGCUAAUACCGGAUGAUAUUUUGAACCGCAUGGUUCAAAAGUGAAAGACGGUCUUGCUGUCACUUAUAGAUGGAUCCGCGCUGCAUUAGCUAGUUGGUAAGGUAACGGCUUACCAAGGCAACGAUGCAUAGCCGACCUGAGAGGGUGAUCGGCCACACUGGAACUGAGACACGGUCCAGACUCCUACGGGAGGCAGCAGUAGGGUAUCUUCCGCAAUGGGCGAAAGCCUGACGGAGCAACGCCGCGUGAGUGAUGAAGGUCUUCGGAUCGUAAAACCCUGUUAUUAGGGAAGAACAUAUGUGUAAGUAACUGUGCACAUCUUGACGGUACCUAAUCAGAAAGCCACGGCUAACUACGUG